rnacentral:rRNA from 2 species
ACCUUCAGGCCUUGUGCUACUAGAGCGGCCGAUGGCAGAUUAGGUAGUUGGUGGGAUAAAAGCUUACCAAGCCUACGAUCUGUAGCUGGUCUGAGAGGACGAUCAGCCACACUGGGACUGAGACACGGCCCAGACUCCUACGGGAGGCAGCAGUGGGGAAUUUUGGACAAUGGGGGAAACCCUGAUCCAGCAAUGCCGCGUGCAGGAUGAAGGCCUUCGGGUUGUAAACUGCUUUUGUACGGAACGAAAAGUCUUGGGUUAAUACCCUGGGAUCAUGACGGUACCGUAAGAAUAAGCACCGGCUAACUACG